AAACUCUUUGAUAUAAGUACGAAGACUCAAAGAACGAAGAAUAACAUGUCCGCAUGCAUGGCUGGUAGUAGAUGCUGGGUCUUUUCGUAUAACAAUCCUUGAUAUCACAAAUAAAAAAAAUAGAGGGGCAACCUGAUUUCAAUAUAGAUAUUUUGGGAC
rnacentral:lncRNA from 1 species